ensembl:lncRNA
CUCUACUUCUCUGUAGUGACCAGCAGGGGGCGACUCCUCUGCUCCCAUAGACGUCUAUGAGGAAAUGACUCUACUUCUCUCUUGAUUUAUUCCCUCAGUAAACAUUGUAAACAUGAGUUUAUGUCUCAGUCUCUAGUUUCAAGUCUUCUUCAAUACACCUGAUGUUCAUUUAGUAGAUUAUGGUCCAUUUAGAGUCAAACAGACCAUAAAGAGGGGACGCUUUAGGGCGGGGCUACAUGCUGAUUGACAGGUUGUCUUUAUUUAACUCGUUUCUAGUUUGUUUGGACUUUUCCAGACCAACAUUUUGUCCCUAAACAUGUCUCUUUGAUUCUUAGCUCGACACAAAGAGUAAAUACGUCUAUAUGUUGCAUGUGACCCUCUGAGGGCCACAGGCCUCAUGUUGGUAACCCCCAUGUGUAAGGUGGUCCUUACGUUGCUGGUUUCCACGCCUCUGUACUUGGCUCUGACUUUGGGCUCCUGGAUGGUCCUCAGGUUGGUUCCCGUCACGGUUAUCACCGUGCUGCCACUACACACACACACACACACACACACACACGCGCACACACACACACACACACACACACACACACACACACACACAGUCAGCCGCAGAUCAAUACUCUGAUUGCCAAUGCGAUUGGUUCUCGGGGGCCUUUACUUGAGGAUGGUCCAGUUGGGCUCGAUGCUGGAGACCGUCGGGUCCUCCGUGAAGACGUACUUUGUCUCCGAGCUCGUCACCUCGGCCCUGUCAAUCAUCAGGCGGAUGGGGGCGGGACCAGGGCCCGACAGGGAGGCGGGAGUUAUGCAGAUGAUCUCCCGAUUGGUCCGUCUGGGAGGGAGGCAGACAUUGAUUGAGGCGAUGACGUAUGGAUGAGGUUUAGUAUCAAUAAGUGGGAGGGCCGCACUCACUUGACAAAGAGACAUUCCUCCUUAUCAAUAAACACCGUCACCGAGCUGCCAGCGUCAAGAUUACGGCCUGUCACCGCCAGCCUGGUUCCCCCGGAGACGGGACCCCUCUCCGGGAGGACCCGAGUGAACACCGGGCUCUGGGGGAAGAGGAGGAGAGGAGGGAGAGGAAGAGGGAGCAGAUGUCAGAAAUUCAACUGGUCAGUUUGAUAAUCGUUAGAUCUCUUCCUCUCUGUUAAUAAGCGCUGACGCACCACGAAGGAGUACGUCUGAGUGGACAGAGUUCUGUACUCGGAGCUGCACACGCCGAUACAAAGUUCCACCGGUCCUCCAGGAGAGUGAGGGAGGAGGGCCUCCGCCAUGUCACACACUAUCCUGAGGAGGGGGGAGAGCGUCAGACAGGGGGACAACAGCCUCAUCACGUGACCGUCUGCAGCAACGCACCUCUCGGCGCUGAUGUACUGGGCGGGGACGGGGUUGCAGCGGACGCCGGCCACCUGGACGUGAGCGAUCUCCUUCACCUGCAGGCCCAGGUUCUCCCCCUCGAUGGUCACCCGCGUGCCCCCCUCUCGGGGGCCGGUCAGAGGGUCAAUCUGUGGUGGGAGGGCAACCGCUCAUCAAUAAUGUUCACACCGAUUCUCAUCUGCUUCCUGUUUGCUGCUCUCAUUCGUUCCCACUGACAAUACUCCAUUCUGAUUGGUCCGCAGGGAUCAAUGCAGCUCCUUCAGCUGGGAUCAAUCAAAGGAUCUAUAGCUUAUUAAAUCAAUAAAGGGCCUCUGCGGUUUUCGCCUCUUAUAAUGAACACAUGGACAAAAUCUUCAUAACAAAAGACUUUUUAACAGCUCAAAGGACCCAAUCACUCAACCUCCCGUUGGGCUUUUAUUGUGAAACAUCAACAUCAACGCGUGUUAAAUAUUUAGAUGAGGUUCAUCGCUCAUCAGUUUACGAUUAUCGAUUAUUAAACAAGUUGUAAGUCAGGAACUGGAACUUAGGAUGACAGGAAUAGAGAUUUUAAGAAGCAGUAGAUGUGUCAGACAGAAUGUGUUUCCUGUCCAUGGGGCUGGAGCUCGUACCCUGGCGAUGCGCGGGUGGCUGCAGCGCAGGUUGUGUCGGCCGUGGUGCAUCCAGCUCUGCUCGGCCGAGGGACAGUGUGUCCUCAGGAGACAACGCCUGCUGUCGGAGCACCAGCCGCAUUCAAAGGCCGUGGGAGCUUUGAGACACUGACCACAGCUGGAGCGCUGAGCCUCACACUUGUACAGCAGGGCUGAAGAGGGAGGUAGGGAGGGGGGGGGAGGGGGGGGGGUUACACACAAUCUGAAGCUUCCCCUGGAGGAGCGUUUACAUGGUGGUCUGCACACCCCCCCCCCAUAUCAUAUUCAUGUUAUUAUUUACCUUUCAUAGACGGCGGCUUGUCGAUGAAGAAGUCUCCGUCCCACACGAUGGAGAAGUCCACUGGGAGGUCUCCAGCCUCGUCCCCUUCGUACCAGUACUGUGGACACACACACAGGUUGCUGGUGACCUUACGUCAUUUAUUAGUUCUGCUUCAAUGGAAACAUCGUCCACUGCUCCAGCCAAUAGGACGGACCCUAGAAACGACUUAACAGGAGCUAACAAUAUGCUAGCUUUAAGCUAACGGUAUACUAGCCUCAUGCUAACAUUAUACGACAUAAAACGUUAUUUUAUCAUCCAACAUGCUAGUGCUGAGGUAACGCUAGGACCACGCAACCGUUAUGCUAGCAUUAAGCAAGAGAUCUCCUAGCAUCAUGCUAACGUAAAGCAAACUCUUGUGUUGUCAUGGCAGCUGCCCGUCUCCACGGCAACCGAUCAGAAGCCGCCAGAGAAACAACACAAUGGAUUUGGAGCUGAUGGGAACCGGAUCUACCUGCUGGUCUCAUCUUAGAUAAACAGUGUGUGUCUGUGUGUGUGUCUGUGUGUGUGUCUGUGUGUGUGUGUGUCUGUGUGUGUCUCUGUGUUUGUGUGAAGAGAAGAAUACGACUCGUCCCUGAGCGCUGCUGAAAAGAUAGACCUGAGUAUGUCCACACACACACACACACACACACAAGAACAAUGAAGAACAGUAGAACAGUAUGUGUGUGUGUGUGUGUGUGUGUGUUGUUUAAAAAGCUCCUUUUGUAUCAUUCAGAUCCGCACAGAAGCUUCAUGUUCCAUUGAUCAACAUUAUUGAUCCUUCUUAUACUGUCCAGCUGUCUUUGAACUCACCACCAUGUGGGAUCAACACACCUUUAAACAUUCAUAUAAAAAGGAGAAGUAGAGGAGGGGGAAACAAGGAAAGAGGAGGCAAAGGGAAGGAGAAGGAGAGGAAACAAGGAAAGAGGAGGCAAAGAGAAGGAGAAGGGAGGAAACAAGGAAAGAGGAGGAGAAGGGAGGAAACAAGGAAAGAGGAGGCAAAGAGAAGGAGAAGGGAGGAAACAAGGAAAGAGGAGGCAAAAAGAAGGAGAAGGAGAGCAGGGAGGAAACAAGGAAAACAGUAAACAACAGUCAUUUCCUCAUAGACGUCUAUGGGAGCAGAGGAGUCGCCCCCUGCUGGUCACUACACAGAAGUCAUUGUUUCAUAGACUUCUAUGCAGACUUUUAGACUCUUAGCUCUAGAAUACUUAUCCUCAAGAGGAAUUUCCUUUUCUAUAAGAACAGUCCAUUCAGCAAAUUAACCUAAAACCCAAGAAAACACUAAUGCUUUUAUUUUGAAGUCUGAGCUGUGUGUGUGUGUGUGUGUGUGUGUGUGUGUGUGUGUGCACGCACUAUUGUACUAAUGGCCAAUUUCCUCUGGGAAUAGUAAGUUAAUUAAAUACAGACACACACUAACUGACCAUCUGUGUGUGUGUGUGUGUGUGUGUGUGUGAGACAGGAAGACAGAACAGGAAAUGAGCUUGAGCAGGGAGACAAUGUGUGUGUGCGCUGUCCACCUGACCCCUGGAGGUCAGAGGUCAACCAGAGAGAAGGAGGGCUACUUGUGCUCGUCUAAUAUGUGAUACUAUUACUAUAUGUACUACUAAUACUGCAAUAUGUAAUACUAGUACUGCUAUAUGUACUACUAAUACUAUCAAGUAUCAAUGGUACUACUUCCAAUAGUACUACAGGUGCUCAUACUUCCACAAAUAAAACUACCCAGGAGUCAGUAGUAGUGGUACAACAAGUAGUGGAGUCUAAGGCCACAUACAGAGAGGUCUCUGAAGGACUGGCCCACUCGCUUCUAACGCACCAAUAUUAGGAUCAAUCAAACGCUUGAUGAGUGGACACGUCUGGAGGAAUCCAUGCUCUCCAUUAGCAGAAUUACGUUGGGUUUGGAACAAGAAGGUUGGCAGCUCAUUCUCUCAGCGUGAUUUCCUUCUCAGUGACAGGAAAGUGACGCUGCCUGGAUCCUUUCACAGACCCGUUCCAGCAGAGAGCCUGACGCGUGGCAGUGCGCUGCCUGGACCUUUGGCAGAAUGCUUUCAUGUGCACACGUGGUCUCUUGUUCAGGGUGCGGAGAUGAUCAGUGAGAUCAACUAGAAAAGCCAGGUCUGCCCCAUAAAGGCUCCGUCAUCUCCUUCCCUUUUCUUUCAGAAAACGUGUCAAUAUUUGAUGUCAGGGAAUAAAGCGGCUGCAGCACCUCAGGGCGCUGAAGUAGGUCCGUGUUCAGCAUCAGAGAGGAGCGCUUGAAAUGCUCGCUGCUAAAGCCCUCGUGCCCAAUUACGUUCCACUAAGAACGACACCAGUCCAUUACAUUUAUAGACCUUGAUGCCGUUGGCCCGCGGGCCGUAGUUUGGACACCCGUCCUACUCCAAUAGUGAGGAGAGAAGGCCGACACAAAAUGAAUCCACCAACUGAAGUCCCGCCCCCCGGCCCAGAGCAUGCUGGGUAGCGUAGUCCCCCUCACCGAGGUGUUCUGGCACUGGAUGCAGGACGAGUUGAAGCGGACCGCCGGGAUGCGCUGGACUUUCCCCUGAAUGUGGAAGACGCACUCGUAGUUCUUCUGACCCGACUGCGGCUGAGGGAGGUUCCGGGCGCGCAGCGUGAUUGGUCGAACCAUCCCGGCCGGGACCAGGAUGUCGGCGGUGGGGAGGAUCUGAGGGCAGCCCUGGGGGGGUAAAACACAUCCCAGUGCUUCAGAGCAUUUCUUUGCUUUCAGGUUGAUAUAAAAAGAAACAAACCACUCGAUAAAUGAUUAAAGACACAAAAGAUGACGUUCUUACAUGAAUAUAGUACAUCGACAUUUGUAUAUAUUACAUAGUAUAUUUGAUAGUUGAGGCUUUCAUUCAUUUAAUGAUUUAUUUCUUAUAACCGUAAAUAAAAUCUAUAAAUAAAUAAUAAUAUAUAUAUAAUAAAUAAAAAAAGAACGAAUUGGAGAAAUAAGAGCUUAAAAUAUUAAAUCAAUGUGCAGAUUGAUUUAAAAGUAAAGUCAAAUACACGCAAUAGAAUUAAAUCAUUUGUAUUCAUUGGUAAAUAAUAAGCAAACAAAUAAAUACUAAAAUAAGUUCAUAAUAUCAUUUUAUUCAUUUAUUUUACGACCAGCCUUUGAGGUUUUUAUUUCUACAUUUCACUUUUUUAUUCUUGAAUCAUUUAUAUAUCUAGAAGGUGUGGUCAUCAAUAAAAUACAUGUCUAAAUAAAAGGACGCUGAUGCAUAAGAGAUGACAUCAUGGGCUCAGGAGUGAGACACUUUCACUUCACACACACUUCAUCCGUUAUUACGAUCAAUUAUUGAUCAGAGAAGCUUUGAACGCGGCAGCAUCACAAAUUAUUAAUCACCCUUUUAUGUGUUUGUAUUAGCCGACCUGUCAAUCAAUUUGGGAACCUGUGGCUUGAGGGUCGGCGGAUUUACUAAAUUAUUAACGAGGGUUUGAAGAAAAUGAUUUUAUAUAUAAAAUAUGAAAUUCAAAGGUUAUAUUGACAGAAUUAUGACAUCACAUUACAGGUCAUUUAGCUGACGCGACUUACAUCACACUUUGAACACACGGCUUUAUACAUUUUGCCCGGGGAGCAAUUAGGGGUCAGGUGUCUUGCUCAGGGACACUUGGACAUGGGACAUGGGGCAGCCGGGACUCGAACCGCCAACCUUGCGGUUUCCAGCGUUCCCUCUCUACCCCGGCGCCACGUCGACCCCUUGAGAUUGGGAAUAAUCUUUAUAUGGAUUAUUUAGAAUAUAUUCUGGAUCUAAUUGUGUGUAUUAAGUCAUAAGGUAACACAGUUAAAAGUACACAAAGACUCUUGUUGUGUCUUUAUUAAUGAUCUUUAUUAGUGACAGGAAGACAUCAGCCCCACAGGAAGUGGACGAGACAGCCGACGCCAUCAGCGAACCGUGUGUGUGUGACAGUGAGACUGUGUGUGUGUGUCAGUGUGUGUGUUCGUGUGUGUGACAGUGAGACUGUGUGUGUGUGUGUGUGUGUCAGUGUGUGUGUGUGUGAGACUGACAGUGAGACUGUGUGUGUGUGUGUGUGUGUUUUGAAGAUAAAGACCCACUGUGGCUCUGAACAGUAGCUCACCUGUUAGAGACCAUUUUUGAGACACUGAAGAAGAGGAGGAGUAAGAGGGAGAGGAGGAGGAAGAAAAAAGGAGGAAGAGGAGGAAAGUGAGACUGUAAAAGAGUGAUGAACAACCUUUAGAUCAACUGAACGCCGAAUUUGUAUUAUUAUAUAAAUGAAUAAUAUUAUUUUGUUUUCUAACCAGGAUCCUGUUUUAUUGUGAAAAUCCCCCUGCUUCCUGUCCCUGUGUGUGUGUCUCCCCUCUGUGUAGUCAGACUAAUUGCCUGGUAUUUAACAUGAAUUGCUGUGUUUGGGUGCUUACGUGUCAAUUAAGUGUCUAUUCAUGUUCCAUCGGCCAUUUAGCCAAUUAGAGGUCGUUAGUGAGCGAUGUCACCGAGCACCAAUCACGUGUUCCGGGAGCCCGAUCGCUAACGAGCUGAUCACUCUUAUUAUGAGGUGUCAUCAUCUCAUCUAAAUAAUUCACUUUUUGAUUUGAUUCUCAUUAAACCCACACAAGUGGGGAAGUAACCAUGAAGAGAGGAGCCCCGGAGAUCAACUCCCUUCUGAUGAUGUCACCAGAGAAGCCCCUUGGGGGGGGAGGGGGGGCUGCGGGGGAUGUUUGUUGUGAUUUUAAUGAAACUGGGUUGAUGAAGAAUCCAUUUCAUUCUGCAGCAGAUUGGGCUCAACGUGGGUCACGUGACGUUGUCAUGUGACCCUCAUGAGACAGUUUGAACCUUUUGAAGUUUCCACUUUGAUUACUACGUCUGUUGUGUCUCUGUGUUACUUUGUGUAGUUUGUUUGUGUGUAGUGUGUGUACCUCUAUGCUGCUGACCCGCCCCUCCUGGAAGGAACAGUCCUGCAGGUUGUUGGUGCAGACGUGACGAUAUUUACACCAAUGACACGGGAACACGCUGCUGACACAGGAAGUACACCUGGGGAGGGUAAAAACGCUUGUUGUCAUGGAGAUGAAAUAUUAUUCCGUCACAAGUCUGAAUAAAAACCUUCAAUCUCAUUCUCUUAUGUCUUAAUAUCGUCUCACUUCCUGUCUGCGUCUCAUUGGUUCCCAUUGAAGACACUAAUCUUCAGUGGUGUGUGUGUGUGUGUGUGUGUGUGUGUUUCUGAGACUGAUGCUCUGAGCUGCUGUUACCAUGGCAACCAGCGAGUCUGCCGCACAGAUUAUGUUACUCCUGCAAAUCUGCUCCCCCAAGGGGGAAGGAGAGGAUACAAGCAGGGAGGAAGCAAGAUGAGAGGAGGAAACAAAGACAAGAAACAAGAGGAGGAUGAAGGGAGAGAGGAAAGGAGGGUGGAUAGGGUAGUAAGGAGUGUAGGAGUGAGGAGAGAGGGGUGCAGGAGUGAGAAGUAAGGAGUGAGGAGGGAGGAGUGAAGAGAGAGGAGUGUAGGAGUGAGGAGUGAGGAGAGAGGAGUGUAGGAGUGAGGAGGGAGGAGUGUGGAGUGUAGGAGGGAGGAGUAAGGAGAGAGGAGUGUAGGAGUGAGGAGUGUAGGAGUAAGGAGAGAGGAGUGUAAGAGUGAGGAGUGUAGGAGUAAGGAGAGAGGAGUGUAGGAGGGAGGAGUAAGGAGAGAGGAGUGUAGGAGUAAGGAGUGUAGGAGUAAGGAGAGAGGAGUGUAGGAGAGAGGAGUGGAGUAAGGAGUGUAGGAUUGAGGAGUGUAGGAGUAAGGAGAGAGGAGUGUAGGAGUGAGGAGAGAGGAGUGCAGGAGUAAGGAGAGAGGAGUGUAGGAGUGAGGAGAGAGGAGUGUAGGAGUAAGGAGAGAGGAGUGCAGGAGUAAGGAGAGAGGAGUGUAGGAGUGAGGAGAGAGGAGUGUAGGAGUAGCCGUGUCAGACUUACGAGUUGAGCACAGAGCAGUUGUAGAAGAUAAAGUUGGUGCUGAUGAACUGAAGUCCCGUCUCAGUGGAGCGCAGGCCUGAGAUGGACCACUCGCUUCUCUCCUGGAGAAUAAAACUUUAUUGAUUCAUUUGUUCACAUACACAAUGGGUGUGUGUGUGUGUGUGUGUGUGCGUGUGUCUCACCGUAGGAGUGUGUGUGCGAGGGCAGGUCUCUCAGUGACGGUGACAUACACAUCACCUGACCUUUGGCCUGGACCUCUCCGGGGGUCUCAUUCAGCUCCUCGAACACACAGGACACGCCCCCCAACAGGGCCGGGACGUUCCGCACCCAGAGGGUCAACUAGAGAGAGAGGGGCAUCUCCAUCAUAACCAUCAUCUCCAUCAUCACCAUCAUCUCCAUCAUAACCAUCAUCUCCAUCAUCUCCAUCAUCACCAUCAUCUUCAUAAUCAUCACCACCAUCUUUCAAUAACCCAAAAUCACAAAUCAUCCUCAGAGGGCUUCACACUACUACAUAUGUAUGCACAUGCUCUGACCUUUGACCCUCACGUUGGCACAGGAACAACUCCCAACAGUGAAGAGUUAUUAAUUAAGUUAAUAUAAUCAUCUUCAUCACUAUCAUUACGAUCUACAUGAAAACACGGAAAAGAGCGACACAAGAGGAACAACGAGAGACAUUACAUUAUUACACUACAGGUCAUUUAGCAGACGCUUUUAUCCAAAGCGACUUACAUUACACUUUAAAACCAUGGCUUUUUCACAUUUUCGCCUGGGGAGCAAUUAGGGGUUAGGUGUCUUGCUCAGGGACACUUCGACAUGGAACAUGGGGCAGCCUGGAAUUGAACCUACAACCUUGUGCUUCCCAGCACACCUUCUCUAACCCCUGUGCCACGACGCCCCAGAGACACAACAGAGGAGCCGAGUCUGUUUGCAGGGUUUCUGGUUUUGGAAAAUCCAACGUAAGUUACGAUCGAUCAGAAAACCAUUUAUUGCAAAGUCUGUCGUGCCGCUGGUGGCAACACUAGCACCAACACGCUAACACGCUAACUAGCUAACACACUAACGAGCUAACGAGCUAAUUUGCCGGCCACCAAGCAAGUUGGCCAGCGAGCGGCGAACAGCUGUUUGGGUUCUGCGUCCUUUUCGGGGUCGAUGGAUCAAUGAGUUUACUAGUUUACACAGAGGUGUGUGUGUGUGUGUGUGUGUGUGUGUACCUGUGUUUGUGGGGAAGUAACAGACAUGUUGCUCGGGGUAACGGUGAUGUCGACGCACUGUUCAAGCCGGGUGUUGAAGUGCUGAGGCUCCUCCCACUUGUUACAUGCUUCCUGUCUGGAACACCUGGAGGGGUCAAAGGUCAUCCAACCUCAAUGAUUGGUGUUUCUUUUUUAAUCGUUUUAAUAUCUCUUCAUUCAUUUCUAAAUUGCAAUCAUAUGGUAAUUUUGUUCAUUUCAUUGUAUUAUGUAUAUACAUGUUUUUAUUGAAAAAUGAAUGACUUCUCAAUAAUACAAGUUUUAAUUACUUAAUCUAAUUUAUACUCAACUAGUAUAUGUAGUUCCUUAAUCUAAUAUCUAGAUUAAUGACAUGUUUUUGUUAUUUGUGAUUUUCUAUUACACAUUUUAUUUUAAUAUCACUUGUUUAUUAGUCCAGAAACAUUAUUACCAAUUAUAUUAUGAACAACAAUCUGAGCUUUGAUGAGGCCACUGGUAGUCCAGGGCUUUUACUUUGAAAGUGAAGCUAAUUAGACAUAAUCCACAGAGGAACUUCCUCCACCUGCCUGGACGCUGAACAUCAAACACACUGUGUGUGUGUGUGUGUGUGUGACGCCUCAUAGGACAACACACACAAAGGAAACAUGCAACAAUAGAAAUGUGUUUUUGUGGUUUAAGUAAAAGCCAACAACCUGAUCUUAUUUUGUCCAUAACUGAACAAACAAUAAUAAUGUGGUCAGGAGAGAACACACAAAGACAUCAUUCUGAAUGAAUAUACAUAAAGUAAAAGGUUUUAUCCUGCCGUCCUGGUGGGGUUCAGAGGGUUAACUACUUCCUGCUGUGCCCCCCCCCCUCCGGGGUGCAGGAGGUCUUACUUGUUGAAGAGCACACACCAGCCACAGUGGGGGUCUCCGGACCCCAGGCAGGCCGAGCAGCUGCUGUACCGCUCACAGCUCUCCACCGGCAGCCGGCUCACCUGGAGCAGGUAGGAAGGGGUCACAGGGGGUCAAAGGUCAAUGACAUGCAACAACUGUCUCCAGGAGCAGUAUGUGAGCGUACGUCGUUCCCACGGUCCCUGAACGCAUCCCCGGACGAACGCUGAGAAACGCUGAGAAAGAUUCAUAUUUCUUCAAAAACACUUUAUUCAUUUAACGUUAACGUUACUUGUGUGUGUGCGUGUGUGUUACCUGACUAAUGUGUUACACACAGCCUGAGGCCUGUGUGUAACACAUUAGUCAGUCAACGUGGCUGUUUGUCGUGUCUUUUACCCAGAGGCCAUUGCAGCACAGAGACAGUAAACACAGUGUCUGUCUGUGUCUCACACAUGAAUACAUUCAUUGUCUCACACACGCACGCACACGCACACACACACACACACACAGACACACACUCUGACCUCAUUAUCUUUAAAGGGACAGUGCGGCUGAAUCUUCAUCCUCUAACCUGCUGAUUGUGCAGUUCUUCCAUUCUGUUUAUUCUCUGAAGUGAUGAGCUGAGAGCAAAACACUCCACUAGAUCUCCACUCUUUGCUGUCCUGCUCCUAAAUGGUGGAAGGAGGUCUCUGAAGACAUCAGGACCACAGAGAGCCUUCACAUCUUCAGACUACAGACACACCUCUUCAGACUCUACCUCCACUAACACACUAACUACCUGCAGCACUUACAUUGGACUUAUAAUGGUUCUUAUCUACAGCAAGUUGUAAAGCGGCUUAUUUGAUGAAAUCACACUUUCUUGUUUCUUGUUCUUCUGAGUUUGUGUCCUUAUGGUUGAAAUGUUCUUAUUCGUCGCUUUGGAUAAAAGCGUCAGAUAAAUGACAUGUGAUGUAAUGUGAUGUGACACACAUGUCCAAUAACAUGAUACAUACAGGGGACACGUGCGUAGCAUUCAUACUUCUAGCAUGUUAAAUUAAGUUAAAAUACAAAGGUGUCAAUGAACACAUUCCAUCAUGUCUGGGGUCAGCAUUACCCAUAAUGCAUCUCUCAUGGAGGACAAACAGUAACAGUUGUUUAACUCCACUCUGCUUCCUCCAAAAGGUACACACACACACACACACACACACACACACACACACACACACACACACACACACACACACACACACACACACACACACACACACACACAGUAUGGGCUUUCUCACCUGUCUGUCACUCAGCAGGUAGAUGUGCUGGUGGUCUGGACUGAAAACCAUGUCUCUCAGGAUCGGCUUCCCUUCCACCACCAUAACCGUCUCGUACAGCAAUGCAUUCUGGGCCGGAGGGGUAAUUCCAUCCACGCGGAUCUGGAACAAGCAGUAGAAACAAGCACCAUGUUUAGAACUGGAAGAGCCACCGGUACCAGUGAAGAGAGCGGAGGAGUGAGGGAGAACUUAGGAAGGUUAAAGACCAGUGGAGCUGCUGCAUUCUGGAGUCACGCCGAGGUUCUUAGCGGUUAAAGUGGGCGUGGUCAAAGUUAACCGCCAACCGUUUCUCACGAUCACCAACGACAAACAAAAUAACCAAAGAAAAUCAUUUAUACAAGAGCUCUCAAUCAAACAAGAUGCUCCAAACAGCGUUAACAUCAAAGCACACAACCCAAGUAACCACGGAAACCACGGCCAUCACAAAGCUCCGCCUCCCAACGCGAGCAGUGGAAGUAAAGAG